UGUUACAGUAAAAGAAGAGGAAGACGUGUUCAGAGUGAAAGAGGAGGAGGAUGUUACAGUGAAAGAAGAGGAGGACGCAGUUUUUGGAUUGGGAGAGAUUACUGUCACAUUGGAGGAAGAAGAGACAGGAGAUCUGAUUAACAACAGAGAGAGACCAGUCUCUCACACAGACAGCGGGAAGAGUCAUGCAGGGAAACCAGACCCAGCGAUGUCUAAACCAGCGAGACAACACCACUGCUCCCAGUGUAAUAAGAGUUUUAAGUGGUUAUGGAAGCUGAAAGAGCAUGGGAGAACACACACAGGAGAAAAGCCCUUCCAAUGCUCCCAGUGUGGAAAAAGUUAUACCCAGUUAGUUAGCCUGAAAAGGCAUAAAGGAAUGCACUUAGGAGAAAAGCCUUACCACUGCUCUCAGUGUGGAAAGACUUUUACCCAGUUAGGGAACCUGAACAAACAUAAGAGAAUACACUCUGGAGAGAAGCCUUACCCUUGUUCCCAUUGUGGAAAGAACUUUAGGUUGUCAGAUAAUCUGAAGGAGCAUGAGAGGACACACACAGGAGAGAAACCUUACCAUUGCUCCCUGUGUGGAAAGGAUUUUACCAAGUUAGGGAACCUAAAAGAACACGAGAGGAAACACACAGGAGAAAAGCCUUACCACUGCUCCCAGUGUGGAAAGAGAUUUUCAAGAUCACCGGACCUUAAAAAGCACGAGAGGACACACACAGGAGAAAAGCCUUACCACUGCUCCCAGUGUGGAAAGAGUUUUACUGAUUUAGAUAGCCUGACCAUACAUAAGAUAAUACACUCUAAAGAGAAGCCUUACCAUUGUUCCCAGUGUGGAAAAAGUUUUACCAAGCUUGGGAACUUGAAAAGGCAUGAGAACAUACACACACAGGGGAGGAUAAGCUCACAGUUUGGAAAGAGUUUUAGUCAGGGAACCUAAUUGUGCAAAGACAUUUUCCCAGACAGAGGACCUGAAUUCACAUGACAGAAUAGACAGGCUGUGUUCUGACUGAUGUUUGACUGUUAUUUUAUGCCACAUUAAAUCAUAUUGUUUAUAUGAAAUCUUA